UACGUAGGGUGCAAGCGUUAAUCGGAAUUACUGGGCGUAAAGCGUGCGCAGGCGGUUUUGUAAGUCUGUCGUGAAAUCCCCGGGCUCAACCUGGGAAUUGCGUUGGAGACUGCAAGGCUAGAAUCUGGCAGAGGGGGGGUAGAAUUCCACGUGUAGCAGUGAAAUGCGUAGAGAUGUGGAGGAACACCGAUGGCGAAGGCAGCCCCCUGGGUCAAGAUUGACGCUCAUGCACGAAAGCGUGGGGAGCAAACGAGG
rnacentral:rRNA from 1 species